rnacentral:rRNA from 1 species
ACUCCUACGGGAGGCAGCAGUGAGGAAUAUUGGUCAAUGGAGGGAACUCUGAACCAGCCAUGUCGCGUGCAGGAAGACUGCCCUAUGGGUUGUAAACUGCUUUUAUACGGGAAGAAUGUGACCUACGUGUAGGUUUUUGCCGGUACCGUAUGAAUAAGCAUCGGCUAACUCCGUGCCAGCAGCCGCGGUAAUACGGAGGAUGCAAGCGUUAUCCGGAUUCAUUGGGUUUAAAGGGUGCGUAGGCGGAAGUGUAAGUCAGGGGUGAAAGUUUGCAGCUCAACUGUAAAAUUGCCUUUGAUACUGCAUUUCUUGAGUACAUUUGAGGUAGGCGGAAUGUGUUGUGUAGCGGUGAAAUGCUUAGAUAUAACACAGAACACCGAUUGCGAAGGCAGCUUACUAAACUGUAACUGACGCUGACGCACGAAAGCGUGGGGAUCGAACAGGAUUAGAUACCCUGGUAGCGAGUAG